rnacentral:lncRNA from 1 species
GAAUAAUAUUCAAUAAUAUAAGAGUUGUAAUGUUUUACAAUAAGGAAUAAAGUAUUUAUACUAUUCUAGAGAACCUAAGUAAACUAGGAAAAAUAUCUAAGAAUAAUGCAAAAUUCAUCCACAAUAACCUAAUUAUAGUAAAAAUCUACUAAUAAUAAAAUUCUAUUAAAAUAAGAAAAAAACGAGAAAUUUGAAAAAAUUCGCCUCGGACUUGGCCUAUGCGGCUGCAUAGCUUUAGAGCAUGCGGUCACAUAGUGCAAUUGGUCUGCGACUUUGGGACUUCUAUUGGGUGAAUGCGACUGCAGGACUUUAGACCUGUGUGGCCGCAUGGUUUAAUGCUCCAGCUCCGUUUUCUUCAACUUUAAACAUGUUGAUCCAAUACUCUUCGGCCUUCAUCCCAAUACGAAACUUGCUCCGUUUUGCAUCCCGAACAUUAUUUCAUCAACCGUUGCUUUGACGAGCAAUCACAUCGCUUCUUUCAUGCACUUGGCCCUCGAUCACGUCAUCGGCCCCUCGACUAUCAACGGAUCUUUCCUUGGGCUCGACUAUGGACUUGUCUUUGGUACUUGUGCUUCCUGGAUCACAUCACUAAUGCUUACUUGCUUUUUGAUAGAACUACAGAUGGAGUCAUUGGGUAUAUAGAUUCAAGUUAUGUAAGGGAUCCUAAUAACAGAAUAUAUCUUAUAGGGUAUGUGUAUACCCUUGGAGGCUGUGCUAUCAGUUGGAAAGCAACUUUGCAAAAUACAGAAGCUUUGUCUACAACAUAGGCAGAGUACAUGAUCAUUACAGAGGCGUGUAAGGAGGCUAUGUAUUUAAGGGGAUUGAUUAAUGAAAUUAGUGAAGACUUGCAUAUUUCUACAAUAUAGUGUGUGAUAGUCAGAGUGCUAUUUUUCUGACUAAGGAUCAAAUGUUCCAUGAAGGGACUAAGCACGUUAAUGUGAUGUAUCAUUUUGUGCGUGAUGGGAUUGCUCAUGGUCAUAUGGUAGUGAGCAAGGUUGAUAUCAAUGAUAAUCCUACUAAUAUGAUGACAAAACCACUUUUCAUUGCUAAGUUUGAGCGUGGCUUGAAUUUAGUUGGUGUUUUGUCAUUGAUUUAGUCCAUUGGGUUGAGCGUUGCUUGAAUUUAGUUGGUUUUUUGGAAUUCUUUGUAUUAGAAUUUGGUUUAAGGUGGAGAUUUGUUGUAGUUUGAUCUACAUUUUAGUUUGAUUGAAGUGGUCCUGAAGAGAUCAAAGUUGUGAACAGGGAAGAAAAGUCGUCACAUUUUUGUUAGCUUGCCCCUGGCUAAUCGCUCGAGUGGCACCUAUAUAUUUUCCACAAAAACUUGUCGCUCGACUGGUGCUCGAGAGAUGGGGCCGCACCCGCCUAUCGCUCAUUUGUUGCUUGAGCAACAGGGUUAUCUAGCUCAAGCCAGUUUCGCAUUGUUGGACUCAUAUUCAUGUACAACUUGACUUCUAGGGUUUCAUAUAUAUAUAAAUCACGGCCUGUAUUGUUCCCAUAACAUUUAUAUAACAUUUUGAGAGUUUUGAAUCUUAAUUGAAAGUAUUUAGAUUUUGUUGUAAACACAAUUAUUAUUGAUUAUAGUAGAUUUCUCCUCCUCUGCCUGUGGUUUUUUCUCGCCUUAGAUUUGUACGUAAAUCUUGGUAUUCUUAAUAUUUAUUCUUGUUUAUUUCAUCAUUGUCAUUGUCUUGCGAUCAACUACUACCAUAUACAUUCACAAAAAGAAAUUAAAGAAUAUCACUAUUAGAAAAUACGUGUAACAAACGAUUCUCUGACACAAACAAGAAUCAACCAAAGAUACGAAAAUAGAUAGAAAAUAUUGAGAAAAAUAUAACUACAUAAAUGAUAGAAAGACAAAACUAAUAAAAUGGUAAUUGAAAAACUAAAAUAGUUACCUGGAAAUCGCUUCAGGUUAGUAUAUUUGAUCUAUGAUUACUUCAACUGAGCCAACGACUCGGAAUACUUGGGGGUGCAACGUGGAUCCGAAAGUAAGAACCAAAUACUAAUUAAUUAUUUAUUUAAUUAAAUCAAAAAAAAUGAAAACAAAUAACAAUGAUAUGAUUGAACUGAAUAAAUUAAAGAAAUAAUAUAAAAUAAUGUUAUUUAGCGCUAGAGACAUUACGUGAUAUGUUCAAUUAUGGGUAAAAUUUAUGAUUUAUUUAAUUGUAUAUUUCAUUUCAUGACACUUAAGGUAUAUUUGAUUGGCUUUAUUUUUUUAUGAAAAAUGUCUCUUUCUAUUUAAGUUCUUAUUUUUGAGGUGUUUGAUUAUCAUUUUUUUCAUGAAAAAUAUUUUUCAAAAGUUGAUCACUUGACCAUGUUUUUAUCAAAAAUAAGGAAAAUAUCUUCUUUAAUGGAGGUAGAUUUUUAUUUUUUAGACAAUUUACCCUUCCCAACAAUGCUUUUUAGGUUGAAAGUUAGGAUAAUCAAACACAUUUAAUUGUCAAUUUUCAUGCAAAAAUAAGUUCUAGAUAAUUUGUUUCCAUACAAGUCCCAUGCUUGCAAUCUGGUGUUAAAAUAUUAUUUGUACUAAAUUGCAUUACUCAUUAAUAUAAAUGAGAUGAAAUCCAAAUUAUAAUAGGAUACUUACCUUUGAAUUGAAAUCCCAAAACAAAACAGGCAAGGAGAAUACCCUAUAAAAGAAGAGGGAAGUAUAAUUAAUUAUACAAGUUCUUUUAGUAAGACAUUAACAUCCACCAAGAACCUUUACAGGAGGAGUUUUCCAGGGGGCAUGUUUGGCCACGCUUAAAGUCUUACCAUAGACAGAAUCUUGGAAGAAAGAGGUUGGGACACUCGGCACAAAAAACAAAAAUUCAAUUAUUGAACAAAAGGGCCCUUCAAGGAAACACGUUCGAAAGCACAAAGAAUUACUAAUGCAAUUAUUUGUCAUUAUAAAGAUUUUGAGAUUGUCCUAAAUGAUAAUAAUACAUAUUCCAAUAAAAGUAAUUAAAAAUAUAUAUAUAUAAUCUACAAUUUUUUUGAUGAUGAUGAUGAUGAUGAUGAUGAUGAUGAU